rnacentral:rRNA from 1 species
AUUGAACGCUGGCGGUAUGCUUAACACAUGCAAGUCGAACGGUAACAGGAGAGAGCUUGCUCUCUUGCUGACGAGUGGCGGACGGGUGAGUAACGCUUGGGAAUCUGCCUGGUAGUGGGGGACAACACGGGGAAACUCGUGCUAAUACCGCAUACGUCCUACGGGAGAAAGUGGGGGAUCUUCGGACCUCACGCUAUCAGAUGAGCCCAAGUCGGAUUAGCUAGUUGGUGAGGUAACGGCUCACCAAGGCGACGAUCCGUAGCUGGUUUGAGAGGAUGACCAGCCACACUGGGGACUGAGACACGGCCCAGACUCCUACGGAGGCAGCAGUGGGGAAUAUUGGACAAUGGGCGCAAGCCUGAUCCAGCAAUACCGCGUGUGUGAAGAAGGCCUGCGGGUUGUAAAGCACUUUCAAUUGUGAAGAAAAGCUUAAGGUUAAUAACCUUGAGUCUUGACGUUAACUUUAGAAGAAGCACCGGCUAACUCCGUGCCAGCC